AUCUGGAAUCAGAUUUUGGUGCCACUGAAAGACAAGGUGUGAGACUUUACUAUGGAGCUAGAAACCUUCAGAGAAUGACAUAUCAGUUUCAAGGACUUGGAAUCAACUGGAGUCAAAAUAAUACCUGUUCUGUCCCAACCUGAUGAAAGAUGGAGUGGCGAAAGAGGAUAUGUACAGGUUACUCUUCUAACCAAUUAAUUUUUCUUUGUAAACUAUACUUUCCGUCAAAUAUGUG